AAGGCCAGCCCUCCCCUAGAAGGAGGCACCUGCAACAUCAAGUUUUAGUUCAGAGGCUACAUAAAGAUCAAGAUCAUCCUGAUCCCCGAGGCCCGGGCGCACGCGCGUCAUGUAAACAAAGUACAAACAUACUCCCACAGUCCCACAGCCUGCCCUACACGACCCCAGCAAACACACAAGAACAAGCUAUAGAGCUACAUCGUCGAUACCCUUACAACUACAAGCUAUAGCAAAUGACUGCUGCGAGGGGAGGCUUGGCUAGCUGACUAACUGAAAUAAGCCUCAAGAUCAAUGCAAACCGCAAGACCUUACACCAUAUAUAAUACAAUGAAGGAUAUUAUUGUUACUACUGUUCAUCCAAGCCAGCAUCACCACCACCACCACCACCACCACCACUUCAAGCUUCGUUAAAGCACUCAUCCAGGUGGAGGUAGAACCAGUGGGACGAUGGUUCCACAUAUAUGAGGCACGGCGUCUGCGGGGCCACCUCACCUCCUCAGUUGGGGAAAGUGAAGAGGAGAGUGAGGAGGAGGAGGCUCAGGAGGUGGAGGUGGAGGAUGACAUACACUAUCUUCGCUCUCUCAACCCAGCAGACUGGAAGGACCAGGAUCAUUAUGCAGUACUGGGACUCCGAAAGCACAGGUACAAGGCCUCUGAUGAUGACAUCAAAAGAGCGUACCGCAUGAUGGUUCUGUGGCACCACCCAGACAAGCGGCGAGCAGCUGGGGAGGAGGUGAGGGAUGACGAUGACUACUUCACCUGCAUCACCAAAGCCUAUGAGAUUCUUCGGG